rnacentral:rRNA from 1 species
UACGAAGGGGGCGAGCGUUGUUCGGAUUUACUGGGCGUAAAGGGCGCGCAGGCGGCUAUCCAAGUCAGGCGUGAAAGCCCCGGGCUUAACCUGGGAGGUGCGUCUGGGACUGGGUGGCUAGAGAUCGGGAGAGGAGAGUGGAAUUCCCAGUGUAGAGGUGAAAUUCGUAGAUAUUCGCAAGAACACCAGUGGCGAAGGCGGCUCACUGGCCCGAUACUGACGCUGAGGUGCGAAAGCGUGGGGAGCAAACAGG